AGCGGCGGAGGGUGAGUAAUGCAUAGGAAACUGCCCAGUAGUGGGGGAUAGCCCGGGGAAACCCGGAUUAAUACCGCAUACGCCCUUCGGGGGAAAGCAGGGGAUCUUCGGACCUUGCGCUAUUGGAUGUGCCUAUGUCGGAUUAGCUAGUUGGUGGGGUAAGAGCCUACCAAGGCGACGAUCCGUAGCUGGUCUGAGAGGAUGAUCAGCCACAUCGGGACUGAGACACGGCCCGAACUCCUACGGGAGGCAGCAGUGGGGAAUAUUGGACAAUGGGGGUAACCCUGAUCCAGCCAUGCCGCGUGUGAGAAGAAGGCUUUCGGGUUGUAAAGCACUUUCAGUGAGGAGGAAAACCUUAAGUUUAAUACGCUUGAGGCUUGACGUUACUCACAGAAGAAGCACCGGCUAACUCCGUGCCAGCAGCCGCGGUAAUACGGAGGGUGCAAGCGUUAAUCGGAAUUACUGGGCGUAAAGCGCGCGUAGGUGGUUUGAUAAGCGAGAUGUGAAAGCCCCGGGCUCAACCUGGGAACGGCAUUUCGAACUGUCAGGCAGAGUAUGGUAGAGGA
rnacentral:rRNA from 1 species